GAUAAACGCUAGCGGCAGGCUUAACACAUGCAAGUCGGGGGGCAGCAUAGAUUGUAGCAAUACAAUUGGUGGCGACCGGCGCACGGGUGCGUAACGCGUAUGCAACCUACCCGUCACAGGGGGAUAAUCCGGAGAAAUCUGGUCUAAUACCCCAUAACAUAUGGAUCGGCAUCGGUUCAUGUUGAAAUUUUCGGAGGUGACGGAUGGGCAUGCGUAGCAUUAGCUUGUUGGUGAGGUAACGGCUCACCAAAGCGACGAUGCUUAGGGGGACUGAGAGGUUUUCCCCCCAAACUGGUACUGAGACACGGACCAGACUCCUACGGGAGGCAGCAGUGAGGAAUAUUUGUCAAUGGGCGCAAGCCUGAACCAGCCAUGCCGCGUGCAGGAUGACGGCUCUAUGAGUUGUAAACUGCUUUUGUACGAGGGUAAAGUGGGUUACGUGUAACCUUUUGAAAGUAUCGUACGAAUAAGGAUCGGCUAACUCCGUGCCAGCCGCCGCCGUAA
rnacentral:rRNA from 1 species